rnacentral:sRNA from 1 species
UAUUUUCGUGCCUGCACGAAAAUAUAUGACCUUGAUACGUGCAAAAACAUGAGAAAGAAGCCCGAUAGGGCGGAUUUCGAAUGUUUUAGGGUUGCGAGAGCACGAAGUGCGAAGCAAACCGU